rnacentral:rRNA from 1 species
ACGGGAGGCAGCAGUGGGGAAUAUUGGGCAAUGGGCGCAAGCCUGACCCAGCAACGCCGCGUGAAGGAUGAAGGUCUUCGGAUUGUAAACUUCUUUAAUUGGGGAAGAAAAAAUGACCUACCCAAAGAAUAAGCCACGGCUAACUACGUGCCAGCAGCCGCGGUAAUACGUAGGUGGCAAGCGUUAUCCGGAUUUACUGGGUGUAAAGGGCGUGUAGGCGGCUUUGCAAGUCAGAAGUGAAAUUCCCGAGCUCAACUUGGGCGCUGCUUCUGAAACUGCAAAACUUGAGUACUGGAGGGGAAAGCGGAAUUCCUAGUGUAGCGGCAAAAUGCGCAGAUAUUAGGAGGAACACCGGUGGCGAAGGCGGCUUUCUGGACAGUAACUGACGCUGAGGCGCGAAAGCGUGGGGAGCAAACAGGAUUAGAUACCCUGGUA